rnacentral:rRNA from 1 species
UACGGAGGGUGCGAGCGUUGUCCGGAAUCACUGGGCGUAAAGGGCGCGUAGGUGGUCUGCUAAGCGUGUGGUGAAAGCUCGGGGCUCAACCCCGAGUCUGCCAUGCGAACUGGUGGACUAGAGCACUGUAGAGGCAGGUGGAAUUCCGGGUGUAGCGGUGGAAUGCGUAGAGAUCCGGAAGAACACCGGUGGCGAAGGCGGCCUGCUGGGCAGUAGCUGACACUGAGGCGCGACAGCGUGGGGAGCAAACAGG